rnacentral:rRNA from 2 species
GAUGAACGCUAGCUACAGGCUUAACACAUGCAAGUCGAGGGGCAGCAUGGUCUUAGCUUGCUAAGGCCGAUGGCGACCGGCGCACGGGUGAGUAACACGUAUCCAACCUGCCGUCUACUCUUGGACAGCCUUCUGAAAGGAAGAUUAAUACAAGAUGGCAUCAUGAGUCCGCAUGUUCACAUGAUUAAAGGUAUUCCGGUAGACGAUGGGGAUGCGUUCCAUUAGAUAGUAGGCGGGGUAACGGCCCACCUAGUCUUCGAUGGAUAGGGGUUCUGAGAGGAAGGUCCCCCACAUUGGAACUGAGACACGGUCCAAACUCCUACGGGAGGCAGCAGUGAGGAAUAUUGGUCAAUGGGCGAGAGCCUGAACCAGCCAAGUAGCGUGAAGGAUGACUGCCCUAUGGGUUGUAAACUUCUUUUAUAAAGGAAUAAAGUCGGGUAUGGAUACCCGUUUGCAUGUACUUUAUGAAUAAGGAUCGGCUAACUCCGUG